AUGCCCAGCUCCUGCCAGGGGCUGCUGCUGCUGCACUUGGUGCUGGAGAGGGCUGGAGAAGCAGAAAGUGCCUCAGUGGGGAUGCAGGAACCCUGGAGGCAGCUCCAAGCUGCUUCCACAGCAUCCCCAGGGCAAGGCCACGGCUGUUUGCAGGAGAGGAGCACCAGCCCAGCUCAACUCAAGUCCUCCCCAAACUGCUCCCGGUGUUCUCCCUUCCUUUGCUCCCCUUUCAGCCCUGCCCAGAGCAGCCUCAGCGUGGUGAGUGACACGGUGACAUUGCUGCAGCCUUUUGGCUUGGUGACAGUGACACUGCUGCAGCCCCUCAGCUGGGUGACAGUGACAUUCUUGCAGACACUCAGCCUGGGUGACAGGGUGACACUGCUGCAGCCCCUCAGCUGGGUGACAGGGUGCCACUGCUGCAGUUACUCAGCCUGGGUGACACGGUGACAAUGCUGCAGCCC
rnacentral:lncRNA from 1 species